UGGGACCUAGCUUAGUUGGUAGAGCGCCCGCCUGAAAAGCGGGAGGCCCUGGUUCGAGUCCAGGGGUCGCAGC
rnacentral:tRNA from 3 species